CCGCACUGCUAAGUGACUGGACUUCCUCUGUCGUGGUCUUGCAGUCUCAUUCCGGUGCCAUAUCGACCUCAGUUUGCAGAAGGGUUGAGCUAGACUACUGGCUCCCCCCUUUCGAAGGCUGAGAACAGAU
ensembl:snoRNA